rnacentral:rRNA from 1 species
UACGGAGGGUGCAAGCGUUGCUCGGAAUUAUUGGGCGUAAAGGGUAGGUAGGUGGUCUCAUUUGUCUGGGGUGAAAGCCUUGAGCUUAACUCGAGAAGUGCCCCGGAAACGGUGAGACUAGAGUCCUGGAGAGGGUCGUGGAAUUCCCGGUGUAGCGGUGAAAUGCGUAGAGAUCGGGAGGAACACCAGAGGCGAAGGCGGCGACCUGGACAGGUACUGACACUCAACUACGAAAGCGUGGGGAGCAAACAGG